rnacentral:rRNA from 1 species
AGAUUAAGCCAUGCAUGUCUCAGUGCAAGCCACAUUAAGGUGAAACCGCGAAUGGCUCAUUAAAUCAGUUAUGGUUCCUUAGAUGGUGGACAGUUACUUGGAUAACUGUGGUAAUUCUAGAGCUAAUACAUGCAACUGAGUCCUGACCGGCGACGGAAGGGACGCUUUUAUUAGAUCAAAACCAAUCGGUCGCUCACGCGGCCGUUUGCCUUGGUGACUCUGAAUAAAUUGAGGCGGAUCGCACGGUCUCCGAACCGGCGACGCAUCUUUCAAAUGUCUGCCUUAUCAACUGUCGAUGGUAGGCUCUGCGCCUACCAUGGUUGUAACGGGUAACGGGGAAUCAGGGUUCGAUUCCGGAGAGGGAGCCUGAGAAACGGCUACCACAUCCAAGGAAGGCAGCAGGCGCGCAAAUUACCCACUCCCGGCACGGGGAGGUAGUGACGAAAAAUAACGAUACGGGACUCAUCCGAGGCCCCGUAAUCGGAAUGAGCACACUCUAAAGACUUUAACGAGUAUCCAUUGGAGGGCAAGUCUGGUGCCAGCAGCCGCGGUAA